UAGCAGUCUGCGUCUUGGUUAUCGAAGAAUGGAGAGAGUAUUCGGAACGCAUUGGAGGAAACCGGCGGAUCUGCAAUGGAUGUUUCCACAAGACGUUUUUCUCUACUUUUCUCGAUGCAAAUUUCUGGAGUUUUUGCAGCAUCGAACUCCGUUUUCCUUGUUCGUACGUUAUCCGUGCGAGUUUUCAAGCAGUCUGCGUCUUGGUUAUCGAAGAAUAGAGAGUAUUCAGAACGCAUAGGAGGAAACCGGCGGAUCUGCAAUGGAUGUUUUCACAAGACAUUUUUCUCUACUUCUCUCGAUGCAAAUUUCUGGAGUUUUUGCAGCAUCGGACUCUGUUUUCCUUGUUCAUACGUUAUCCGUGCGAGUUUUCAUCUUCGUGAUGCAGAUCUCAUUGAGUGGAUCCAAUUGACCUCAAUUUUGGAGGUAUUUUGUUACCUCUUGCAAGAAGCAUCAAGCACUUAAUAUUUCAGCUAAAGGAAAACGAACUGAAAGUUGUACUCCGUCAUGGAUGGCGGUCGAUGAGGAAAUAACCGGGAGCACCCAAUGACUGCUAUUUAUGGAGGAAGAAGAAGCUGACUUCACAUGAGCACCAAUAAGGGAAGGAAUCUGAUGCUGCAAGUAAUGAAGCUGAAACAGAGUUAUUGCAGUAAUUGUCGCCACAGUCGCCAUACAAGCCUUUCAACAGGUAAGAAGAGGGACUUGAGAAGCUUCUCGCAGUUGCACUUGCACUAGACGAUUUUCCGUUUUCAGUUCCCUU